UACGUAGGGUGCGAGCGUUAAUCGGAAUUACUGGGCGUAAAGCGUGCGCAGGCGGCUUUGCAAGACAGAUGUGAAAUCCCCGGGCUCAACCUGGGAACUGCGUUUGUGACUGCAAGGCUAGAGUACGGCAGAGGGGGAUGGAAUUCCGCGUGUAGCAGUGAAAUGCGUAGAUAUGCGGAGGAACACCAAUGGCGAAGGCAAUCCCCUGGGCCUGUACUGACGCUCAUGCACGAAAGCGUGGGGAGCAAACAGG
rnacentral:rRNA from 1 species